rnacentral:tRNA from 1 species
GAAGCCAUAUCGGCCUGAGGCCGAUGGUUAGAGCGCCCCGCGCAGCGGGGAGGUCGCGGGUUCGAAUCCCGUUGGCUCCGCCA